UCCUACGGGGGGCAGCAGUAGGGAAUCUUCCACAAUGGACGAAGGUCUGAUGGAGCAACGCCGCGUGAGUGAAGAAGGGUUUCGGCUCGUAAAGCUCUGUUGGUAGUGAAGAAAGAUAGAGGUAGUAACUGGCCUUUAUUUGACGGUAAUUACUUAGAAAGUCACGGCUAACUACGUGCCAGCAGCCGCGGUAAUACGUAGGUGGCAAGCGUUGUCCGGAUUUAUUGGGCGUAAAGCGAGUGCGGGCGGUUCAAUAAGUCUGAUGUGAAAGCCUUCGGCUCAACCGGAGAAUUGCAUCAGAAACU
rnacentral:rRNA from 1 species